GUGUCAGCAGCCGCGGUAAUACGUAGGGGCCGAGCGUUGUCCGGAGUUACUGGGCGUAAAGCGCGCGCAGGCGGCCAUCUAAGCCCGGCGUGAAAGCCCCCGGCUCAACCGGGGAGGGUCGUCGGGGACUGGGUGGCUUGAGGACGGCAGGGGCUGGUGGAAUCCCCGGUGUAGUGGUGAAAUGCGUAGAGAUCGGGGGGAACACCCGUGGCGAAGGCGGCCAGCUGGGCCGUUCCUGACGCUGAGGCGCGAAGGCGUGGGGAGCGAACGGGAUUAGAUACCCCAGUAGUCC
rnacentral:rRNA from 1 species